rnacentral:rRNA from 1 species
CCAAUAGCGUAUACUAAAGUUGUUGCAGUUAAAAAGCUCGUAGUUGAAUUUCGGGAUUCUACCGUUGGUCGGGCUAUCCAGUCUGUACUAGCGUGUAGAGUUUCUACCUUCUGGGGAACCAUCAUGUUAUUAAUUUAGCGUGGUGGGAAACCAGGACCUUUACCUUGAAAAAAUUAGAGUGUUCAAAGCAGGCUUACGUCUGAAUACAUUAGCAUGGAAUAAUAAAAUAGGACGGUGGUCCUGUUUUGUUGGUUUCUGAAUCACCGUAAUGAUUAAUAGGGAUAGUUGGGGGCAUUAGUAUUCAAUUGUCAGAGGUGAAAUUCUUGGAUUUAUUGAAGACUAACUUCUGCGAAAGCAUUUGCCAAGGAUGUUUUCAUUAAUCAAGAACGAAAGUUAGGGGAUCGAAGACGAUCAGAUACCGUCGUAGUCUUAACCAUAAACUAUGCCGACUAGGGAUCGGACGAUGUUAAAUAUUAUUGACUCGUUCGGCGCCUUACG